AUACGGAAGGUCCGGGCGUUAUCCGGAUUUAUUGGGUUUAAAGGGAGCGCAGGCGGAGAUGCAAGCGUGACGUCAAAUUUCGGGGCUCAACCCCGUCUCGCGUCGCGAACUGCGUCCCUUGGUUGCGGGAAGGGGAGGCGGAACUCGGGGUGUAGCGGGGAAAUGCAUAGAUAUCACGAAGAACUCCGAUCGCGAAGGCAGCCUUCCGGCCCGUCAACGACGCUCAUGCUCGAAGGUGCGGGUAUCAAACAGGAUUAGAUACCCUGGUAGUUCGCACAGUAAACGAUGGACACCCGCGGUUUGGCCUAUAUGGCUGAGCCGCCAAGCGAAAGCGUUAAGUGUCCCACCUGGGGAGUACGCCGGCAACGGUGAAACUCAAAGGAAUUGACGGGG
rnacentral:rRNA from 1 species